rnacentral:rRNA from 1 species
GACCUGCGGAGGGAUCAUUACCGAGUUUACAACUCCCAAACCCCUGUGAACAUACCUAUAAUUUGCCUCGGCAGACUCAACGACGGUGCUCCGAGAAAUCGGGCGCCGCUCGCUGCCAGAGGAACCCCAAACUCUAUGUAUUCUUGUGGAUCUUCUGAGUAAAACAAAACAAAUAAAUCAAAACUUUCAACAACGGAUCUCUUGGUUCUGGCAUCGAUGAAGAACGCAGCGAAAUGCGAUAAGUAAUGUGAAUUGCAGAAUUCAGUGAAUCAUCGAAUCUUUGAACGCACAUUGCGCCCGCCAGUAUUCUGGCGGGCAUGCCUGUUCGAGCGUCAUUUCAACCCUCAAGCCCCCGGGCUUGGUGUUGGGGAUCGGCGAUAGUCGCCGUCCCCCAAAUCUAGUGGCGGUCUCGCUGUAGCCUCCAUUGCGUAGUAGCUAACACCUCGCAACUGGAACGCGGCGCGGCCAAGCCGUUAAACCCCCAACUUCUGAAUGUUGACCUCGGAUCAGGUAGGAAUACCCGCUGAACUUAAGCAUAUCAAUA